rnacentral:lncRNA from 1 species
GUGUUUGCUGAUUGUCAACCCAAAAAUAGCCAUGGGUAAAUCUAAGUGUAUGUGUGCCGACUUUUUGAACUCAAUAUACUGUCAUAAAUCUAACAAGUUCGUGCUUGUGUCAUUUUGUUUAUACAGUGAUGUUUUUGUACCAAUGUGUUUCACAAUUCUUGCUCUUUGGGUAUAACUCACAGUCCAAAAUUCCGGCCACAAAAUCAUUUUAUCAAUAAAAAAAACAACGUUUUCUAAUCACAGAAAGUUGUGUCAUACCGCGAUUUGUACUCUUGGACACAGCGUUUUACU